GAGAGAGAGAGAGAGAGAGAGAGAGAGAGAGAGAGAGAGAGAGAGAGAGAGAGAGAGAGAGAGAGAGAGAGAGAGAGAGAGAGAGAGAGAGAGAGAGAGAGAAUGGGUGAGCAGGGGUCAGGCAGGGGCUGGCUGAGGUACCUCCUCAACAAUCUCUUCCCUACGGACAAACACUCUCUCUCUCUUUUUCUUUCUUUCUUUCUUUCUUUCUUUCUUUCUUUCUUUCUUUCUUUCUUUCUUUCUUUAUUUCUUUCUUUCUUUCUUUCUCUCUCUCUCUCUUUCACUCUCACACACACACACACAUCCUCCAUGAGUAACAUUCUCAAUUUCAUGCACAUGCUGAACUAAGCUGUCCUACAAAUUACAGCUGCUUGCUGUGUCCCUCUGAAGGAUGACAGUUGGAUGAAGACAAACAAAGCAUGACAAGCAGUAUGAAGAUCACACAGAAAGACACUUUGGCCGUGGACCAGCCGUCCAGACAAAGGCUGCUUAGGAAGGCAGUUACAACGGAGGACCGCAUCCUGCUGAAAAUACGACUGAAGAUAUUUGGAGAAUAAAGGCGCCUGAUGUGGCGGCGCCUUGCAGAUGAAGUUUGGAGUCUCUAGAUCGGUUUCUGCAGUUUGCUCAUGCAGUUACUUCUACAUGUUUAUGUCCCAGGAGUUUGGUAAAAUAAAACUUUAUUCAUGCACUGAAGCAUA